AUGGCCUCGAGCUCCCUCCCGCUCCUCGCCCUCCUGGCCCUGCUGGCCCUGCCAGGGCUCCGGGCGGCCGUGACCCUGCUGGAGUCCGGGGGGGACCUCCAGCCCCCCGGGGGGUCCCUGACUCUGCUCUGCCGCGCCUCUGGAUUUGAUUUUGGGAGUGUCGCCAUGUACUGGAUCCGCCAGAGCCCCGGGAAGGGACUGGAAUCUGUAGCACGGAUCACCAGCCGUGGUGGCCUCACCUUCUACGCGCCAUCAGUGCAGGGCCGGUUCAUGAUCUCCAGGGACAACGGGCAGAGCUCGGUGACGCUGACCAUGAACAACCUCAAGGUCGAGGAUUCCGGCACCUAUUUCUGUGCCAAAUCUGCCUAUAGUAGUUACGCGCCGCCUGUCGAGCCCCAACCCCCAGAUGAGCUUGACCCAAACUCGACUCUUGGCUCUGAAUCUCAGACGCGGCUCCCAAAAGUUCCGAAACAGCCGAGAUUUGGGGCCACGGUUUGA